AGUGAACGCUGGCGGCAGGCCUAACACAUGCAAGUCGAACGGCAGCGCAGCAGUAGCAAUACUGUGGGCGGCGAGUGGCGGACGGGUGAGGAAUACAUGGGAAUCUGCCCUGCCGUGGGGGAUAACGUAGGGAAACUUACGCUAAUACCGCAUACGACCGGAAGGUGAAAGCGGCGGACCGCAAGGCGUCGCGCGACUGGAUGAGCCCAUGUCGGAUUAGCUAGUUGGCGGGGUAAAGGCCCACCAAGGCGACGAUCCGUAGCUGGUCUGAGAGGAGGAUCAGCCACACUGUAACUGAGACACGGUCCAGACUCCUACGGGAGGCAGCAGUGGGUAAUUUUGGACAAUGGGCGCAAGCCUGAUCCAGCAAUGCCGCGUGCAGGAUGAAGGCCUUCGGGUUGUAAACUGCUUUUGUACGGAACGAAAAGCCCUGGGUUAAUACCCUGGGGUCACGACGGUACCGUAAGAAUAAGCACCGGCUAACUACGUGCCAGCCGCCGCCGUAACAC
rnacentral:rRNA from 1 species